rnacentral:rRNA from 1 species
GCCUACGGGAGGCAGCAGUGAGGAAUAUUGGUCAAUGGGAGAGAUCCUGAACCAGCCAAGCCGCGUGAGGGAAGACGGCCCUAUGGGUUGUAAACCUCUUUUGUCGGAGAACAAAACCCGGGACGUGUCCCGGACUGCGUGUAUCCGAAGAAAAAGCAUCGGCUAACUCCGUGCCAGCAGCCGCGGUAAUACGGAGGAUGCGAGCGUUAUCCGGAUUUAUUGGGUUUAAAGGGUGCGUAGGCGGUCUGUUAAGUCAGCGGUAAAAUUGCGGGGCUCAACCCCGUCAAGCCGUUGAAACUGGCAGA